rnacentral:rRNA from 1 species
AUUGAACGCUGGCGGCAGGCCUAACACAUGCAAGUCGAACGAGUGGCGGACGGGUGAGUACUGUCUGGGAAACUGCCUGCUGGAGGGGGAUAACUACUGGAAACGGUAGCUAAUACCGCAUACCAUCGGAUGUGCCCAGAUGGGAUGAGCUAGUCGGUGGGGUAACGGCUCACCUAGGCGACGAUCCCUCGCUGGUAUGCGAGGAUGACCAGCCACACUGUAACGGAGACACGGGCCAGUCUCGUACGGGAGGCAGCGUUGGGGAAUAUUGCAAAUUGGGCGCAAGCCUGAUGCAGCCAUGUCGCGUGUAUGAAGAAGGCUUUCGGGUUGUAAAGUACUUUCAGCGGGGAGGCGUUACCCGCAGAAGAAGCACCGGCUAACUCCGUGCCAGCAGCCGCGGUAAUUC